rnacentral:rRNA from 1 species
AACGAACGCUGGCGGCAGGCCUAACACAUGCAAGUCAAGCGGACCCUUCGGGGUUAGCGGCGGACGGGUGAGUAACGCGUGGGAACGUGCCCUUUGCUUCGGAAUAGCCCUGGGAAACUGGGAGUAAUACCGGAUACGCCCUUUUGGGGAAAGAUUUAUCGGCGAAGGAUCGGCCCGCGUUGGAUUAGGUAGUUGGUGGGGUAAUGGCCUACCAAGCCGACGAUCCAUAGCUGGUUUGAGAGGAUGAUCAGCCACACUGGGACUGAGACACGGCCCAGACUCCUACGGGAGGCAGCAGUGGGGAAUCUUAGACAAUGGGGGAAACCCUGAUCGAGCCAUGCCGCGUGAGCGAUGAAGGCCUUAGGGUUGUAAAGCUCUUUCACCGGGGAAGAUAAUGACGGUACCCGGAGAAGAAGCCCCGGCUAACUCCGUG